rnacentral:rRNA from 1 species
CCUACGGGAGGCAGCAGUGGGGAAUAUUGCACAAUGGGGGAAACCCUGAUGCAGCAACGCCGCGUGAGUGAAGAAGUAUUUCGGUAUGUAAAGCUCUAUCAGCAGGGAAGAAAAAAGACGGUACCUGACUAAGAAGCCCCGGCUAACUACGUGCCAGCAGCCGCGGUAAUACGUAGGGGGCAAGCGUUAUCCGGAUUUACUGGGUGUAAAGGGAGCGUAGACGGCAUAGCAAGUCUGAAGUGAAAGCCCGUGGCUCAACCGCGGAACUGCUUUGGAAACUGUUAAGCUGGAGUACUGGAGAGGCA